AUUGAACGCUGGCGGCAGGCUUAACACAUGCAAGUCGAGCGAGCGGCGGACGGGUUAGUAAUGUCUGGGAAACUGCCUGAUGGCGGGGGCUACCUACUGGAAACGGUAGCUCAUACCGCAUACCAUCAGCUUUUCCCAGAUGGGCUUAGCUAGUAGGUGGGGUAAUGGCUCACCUAGGCGACGAUCCCUAGCUGGUCUGAGAGGAUGACCAGCAACACUGGAAAGGAGACACGGUCAAGACUCUUACGGGAGGGAGCAGUGGGGAAUAUUGCAAAAUGGGCGCAAGCCUGAUGCAGCCAGGCCGAGUGUGUGAAGAAGGCCUUCGGGUUGGAAAGCACUUUCAGCGAGGAGGCGUUACUCGCAGAAGAAGCACCGGCUAACUCCGUGCCAGCAGCCGCGGUAAUAC
rnacentral:rRNA from 1 species